rnacentral:rRNA from 1 species
CAACUUUCAGCAACGGAUCUCUUGGCUCUCGCAUCGAUGAAGAACGCAGCGAAAUGCGAUAAGUAAUGUGAAUUGCAGAAUUCAGUGAAUCAUCGAAUCUUUGAACGCACCUUGCGCUCCUUGGUAUUCCGAGGAGCAUGCCUGUUUGAGUGUCAUUAAUAUAUCAACCUCCUCAGGUUUUUACUUGUCGAGUGUUUGGAUGUGGGGGUUUCUUUUGCUGGUCUCUUUGA